GUCAUAUUGUUGAUUACCUAAUUUUUUCCGUUUCAAACUAUUGAAUAAUAAACCUUAACAAAUUAAGACAAAAAUAUUUUCUUUUUGGAUUGAAAUGGGCAAAACGUGCGUGGCAUAUCUUACAAUUGCAUGCAUAACCCUUUUCCUGAUUGAUAUCCUACUUUUGUCUGCCAUUAUAGCGGUUUUUUUCAAAGAACCAGAUAAAAUAAUUCAAAUUUGGGGUAAAACGGUUCGAAAAACUUUCAAAGUUUUGGUAUACGCAGUACAGAAAUAUGUAACCCGAUAUGGUCAUCGUCCAAGUCGUCAUCAAAUCACUUUAUUACAGCAAGGAUUGAAACUUUAAUAUGUAUAGUAUGGAUUCCGAUACUUUAAAUACAUUUGCCUAACUUAAUUGAAUAUGGGUGUCCAAUUCGGCCUUAGUGUCUUAUUUGGUAUCCUGCUAGUUCUGAUGAUUACUUUCAUUAUUGGUUUGAUUUGCCUGGAAAUAUUUCACGAUCGUAAGAAAUAUGUCAUACUGUUCUCAGCACUAGCUUUAGAUAAUAAUUACCCUUAGGGGAAAGCCAAAUCAAUUGUUAGAAUUAACAGAUAUUCAAUAUAAAUGGUAUUGAUAAAUAUUUUCAGAUAUAAGCUUGUACAACAAAAUUAUAGAUAUUGUUAUUUAAAUAAAAAGCAAUAAGCACAUA